GGGGACGAUUUUGGAUUCGACGCCGAUGAUGAAGCUUUAGGUGCAUGUGGUGAGGGUAUAACGAUCACCUAAAUCCCCGUUGUACAUUUUAAUAGUCGCAAACGACGAAAACUACGCACUAGCGGCUUAAUUGCCGCUAAUCUCCGCGUCUGGAUGCUUAUAAACAGACAACGAGAGCAUCGCAGAAUAAGCUCGCACGGGAGGCUCGCCUAAGGCCAAACUGCUAAAUAGUAUUAGGCUCACCCUAAGCACCCUGUCUUUCGGGCGGUGAUGGGCUAAACUAAUAGAAAGAAUAAACAUGUAGAACCGAGAGGGGAGUGUUGGCGGACGCGGGUUCGAACCCCGCCGUCUCCACCA
rnacentral:tmRNA from 2 species